GACGAACGCUGGCGGCGUGCUUAACACAUGCAAGUCGAGCGAGAAAAAGUCUUCGGACUUUUUCUAGCGGCGGACGGGUGAGUAACACGUGGGCAACCUGCCUGGUAGAGGGGGAUAGCCUUCCGAAAGGAAGAUUAAUACCGCAUAAUAUGUUUUCAAGGCAUCUUGAGAACAUCAAAGGAGCAAUCCGCUAUCAGAUGGGCCCGCGUCCCAUUAGCUAGUUGGUGAGGUAACGGCUCACCAAGGCGACGAUGGGUAGCCGACCUGAGAGGGUGAUCGGCCACAUUGGGACUGAGACACGGCCCAGACUCCUACGGGAGGCAGCAGUGGGGAAUAUUGCACAAUGGGGGAAACCCUGAUGCAGCAACGCCGCGUGAGUGAUGAAGGCCUUCGGGUUGUAAAGCUCUGUCUUCAGGGACGAUAAUGACGGUACCUGAGGAGGAAGCCACGGCUAACUACGUGCCAGCCGCCGCCGUAAUAC
rnacentral:rRNA from 1 species